AAUGAACGUUGGCGGCGUGGAUUAGGCAUGCAAGUCGAGCGAGAACCCAGCAAUGGGGGACAGCGGCACAAGGGACAGUAAUGUGUAGAUCAUCUGCCCUCAGGCCCGGGAUAGCUGCGGGAAACUGCAGGUAAUACCGGAUAACAUCUCCGGAUCAAAGGUGUGAUUCCGCCUGAGGAUGAGUCUACAUCCUAUUAGCUAGUUGGCAGGGUAACGGCCUACCAAGGCGAUGAUGGGUAGCGGGUGUGAGAGCACGACCCGCGUCAUUGGGACUGAGACACUGCCCAGACACCUACGGGUGGCUGCAGUCGAGAAUCAUCGGCAAUGGGCGCAAGCCUGACCGAGCGACGCCGCGUGCGGGAUGAAGGCCUUCGGGUUGUAAACCGCUGUCAGAGGGGAUGAAAUACAGGUGGGUUCUCCCAUCUGUUUGACAUAGCCUCAGAGGAAGGACGGGCUAAGUUCGUGCCAGCAGCCGCCGUAACAC
rnacentral:rRNA from 1 species